UAUUGAUGCUUGGGAGUCAGACAGUGUCAGAUAAAUGUCAUUGUCAAAAGGGAAACAGCCCAGAUCUACAGCUAAGGUCCCAAAGUCAGGUUAAGUGGAAAACGAUGUGAAGAUACGCAGACAACCAGGAUGUUGGCUCAGAAGCAGCCACUCAUUCAAAGAGUGCGUAAUAGCUCACUGGUCGAGCGUCUUUGCGCGGAGAAUUUAACGGGGCUAAACCUGACACCGAAGCUUAGGCAAUGCACGUAAGUGUAUUGGGUAGGGGAGCGUUGUAUACGCGGAGAAACAGUAGCGUAAGCGGCUGUGGAGUGUAUAGAAGUGAGAAUGCCGGAAUGAGUAGCGCGAAUGCAGUGAGAAUCUGCAUGGCCGAAAGCCUCAGGUUUCUGGAGGAAGGUUCGUCCGCUCCAGGUUAGUCGGGAGCUAAGGUGAGGCCGGAAGGCGUAGCCGAUGCACAGACGGUAGAGAUUCCGUCACCACCAAAAGAGUUAAGCACAGGGACACAUAUGAAGUCUCAGAGCCGGGUGUUGGUUCCGGUAGAGAUCGAGGGAAAUUAGUACCGAAGUCUGAGAUGGAAGAUGGCGAGAAAAGCUGUGUGUAUUUCUGAGGUGCCCGUACCGCAAACCGACACAGGUAGGUAGGAAGAAGAUUCUAAGGCCAACGGGAGAAGGGUUGUUAAGGAACUCGGCAAAUUGACCCCGUAACUUCGGGAGAAGGGGUGCUCCAGAGAUGGAGCCGCAGAGAAUCGGCCCAAGCAACUGUUUACCAAAAACACAGGUUUGUGCUAAAUCGAAAGAUGACGUAUACGAGCUGACGCCUGCCCGGUGCUGGAAGGUUAAGAGGAGAUGUGCAAGCAUUGAAUCGAAGCCCCAGUGAACGGCGGCCGUAACUAUAACGGUCCUAAGGUAGCGAAAUUCCUUGUCAGGUAAGUUCUGACCCGCAUGAAAGGCGUAAUGAUUUGGGCACUGUCUCAACAGCCCGCCCGGCGAAAUUGUAGUACCGGUGAAGAUGCCGGUUACCCGCGACAAGACGGAAAGACCCCAUGGAGCUUUACUGUAGCCUAAUAUUGGGUUUCGAUGUUGCAUGCACAGGAUAGAUGGGACUCUGGGAAACCAAGGCUUUGGCUUUGGCGGAGAGGCCGUUGGGAUACCAUCCUUGCGAUAUUGGAAUUCUAACCUGCGGCUCUGAAUCG
rnacentral:rRNA from 1 species